GGUUACGAUCAUACCAUCACUAAUGCACCGGAUCCCAUCAGAACUCCGCAGUUAAGCGUGCUUGGGCGAGAGUAGUACUAGGAUGGGUGACCCCUGGGAAGUCCUCGUGUCGCGACCC
rnacentral:rRNA from 1 species